UACGUAGGGGGCUAGCGUUGUCCGGAAUCAUUGGGCGUAAAGCGCGUGUAGGCGGUCCGGUAAGUCCGCUGUGAAAGUCGGGGGCUCAACCCUCGAAUGCCGGUGGAUACUGUCGGGCUAGAGUGCGGAAGAGGCGAGUGGAAUUCCUGGGUGUAGCGGUGAAAUGCGCAGAUAUCAGGAGGAACACCAAUUGCGAAGGCAGCUCGCUGGGACGUUACUGACGCUGAGACGCGAAAGCGUGGGGAGCAAACAGG
rnacentral:rRNA from 1 species